rnacentral:rRNA from 1 species
AGUCAACAUGCCCAGAGGACGUGGAUAACCUCGGGAAACUGAGGAUAAACCGCGAUAGGUCAUAAUUACUGGAAUGUGUUAUGGCCAAAAUCUACAUGGCCUCUGGAUUGGACUGCGGCCGAUCAGGCUGUUGGUGAGGUAAUGGCCCACCAAACCUGUUACCGGUACGGGCUCUGAGAGGAGGAGCCCGGAGAUGGGCACUGAGACAAGGGCCCAGGCCCUAUGGGGCGCAGCAGGCGCGAAACCUCUGCAAUAGGCGAAAGCUUGACAGGGUUACUCUGAGUGAUUCCCGCUAAGGGAAUCUUUUGGCAUCUCUAAAAAUGGUGCAGAAUAAGGGGUGGGCAAGUCUGGUGUCAGCCGCCGCGGUAAUACCAGCACCCCGAGCGGUCGGGACGAUUAUUGGGCCUAAAGCAUCCGUAGCCGGUCUUGCAAGUCCUCCGUUAAAUCCAGCUGCUUAACAGAUGGGCUGCGGAGGAUACUACAAGGCUAGGAGGCGGGAGAGGCAAGCGGUACUCAGUGGGUAGGGGUAAAAUCCUCUGAUCCAUUGAAGACCACCAGUGGCGAAGGCGGCUUGCCAGAACGCGCUCGACGGUGAGGGAUGAAAGCUGGGGGAGCAAACCGGAUUAGAUACCCGGGUAGUCCCAGCUGUAAACGAUGCAGACUCGGUGAUGGGCCGGCUUUAUGCCAGCUCAGUGCCGCAGGGAAGCCGUUAAGUCUGCCGCCUGGGGAGUACGGUCGCAAGACUGAAACUUAA